UACGUAGGGGGCAAGCGUUAUCCGGAUUUACUGGGUGUAAAGGGAGCGUAGGUGGUUCGGUAAGUCAGAUGUGAAAGCCCGGGGCUCAACCCCGGGACUGCAUUUGAAACUAUCGAACUAGAGUGCAGGAGAGGUAAGUGGAAUUCCUAGUGUAGCGGUGAAAUGCGUAGAUAUUAGGAGGAACACCAGUGGCGAAGGCGGCUUACUGGACUGUAACUGACACUGAGGCUCGAAAGCGUGGGGAGCAAACAGG
rnacentral:rRNA from 2 species